CCUACGGGUGGCAGCAGUGAGGCAUAUUGGUCAAUGGACGAGAGUCUGAACCAGCCAAGCCGCGUGAAGGAUGACUGCCCUAUGGGUUGUAAACUUCUUUUAUAUGGGGAUAAAACAGGGUAUGCAUACCCACUUGUAAGUACCAUACGAAUAAGGAUCGGCUAACUCCGUGCCAGCAGCCGCGGUAAUACGGAGGAUACGAGCGUUAUCCGGAUUUAUUGGGUUUAAAGGGAGCGUAGGUGGAUUGAUAAGUCAGUUGUGAAAGUUUGGGGCUCAACCGUAGAACUGCAGUUGAAACUGGCAGUCUUGAGUAUAGUAGAGGUGGGCGGAAUGCGUGGUGUAGCGGUGAAAUGCUUAGAUAUCACGAAGAACUCCGAUUGCGAAGGCAGCUCACAGGACUACAACUGACACUGAUGCACGAAAGUGUGGGUAUCAAACAGGAUUAGAUACCCGUGUAGUC
rnacentral:rRNA from 1 species